GUUCUCACUGAGGAGAACUGGAGAAGGGGCUUCAGCUCCAAAUCAGUGGUGGAAGAGCCAGAGCCAAGAACUCAUGGGAAUGAGUUCAGCCUCAAGACUGUGAAAGCAGGAGUUGGAUCCCGCAGAGCCUCACCAUCUACCAAAGGGACCCAGGUUCCACAGCUAUUCAGCCUUUCAGGACUGUGGGAUUUGGACCUCAUUCCUUCGUGGAGCCAUUUCAACAGCACUACAGAGAAUGAUGUCCUGGGUGUCCUCACAUAAGAACCCACUUAUCUGGGAUGAGCCUAUUUUCCCAUCUCCAGAAGGUGAUGUGCUGGCAAACUCAUUGGAGAGCCUGGUGGAAACCCUAGAGCCAGCCUUCCUAGAUGACUACCCCUCUUCUAUGUCCACCAUCUCAAGUUCCUCCACCCAACAGAAGCUGGACCUAAUAUUGGCAAGGGUGAUCUCCUCACUUCUUGAUGUGCACUCACUUCAAAAUCGACCUGGUAAUAUUCACAGCCAAGUCAAUGUGACAGGCUCCCAAAUGGAGGAUGAAGGCCACCAGGUCCCGGCCUUGAUAGAAAACCCAGAGCCCAUGGAGGAAGAGGUUGGAGCUACAGGGCCACCUCUGGUGCUUGUGGAGACUCCUGCUCAAGUUCCACCACCUCCACCACCUGAGAGAGAGCUGGAACCAGAAAUACCUGCAAUGGCACCUCCAGCCCAGAAGCUCCUGGUAGACCCUCUCCAGCAACACCCACUGAGCUCCUACCCCAGAGCUGCCCCUUCCCUCCCUUGUCAUUUUUUCCUUCUUUUUAUUUUAUAUGUUUAUAAUUUUGUUAAAACUAUUUUCUUUUAA
rnacentral:lncRNA from 1 species